GAAAAUUGUCUAUACAAACCCAAAAUGGUUCUCUUGGGCAACCUGCAAAGGACUAGUGGUGGAGCACCCGGUUAUCUCAAGCUGAAAUUCUAUGCCUUACUGCUACACAUACCCUCCUGGGCAGGGAACACAUCACUAAAGAGACUUUAAUAACCUCCAAGUCUACAGGUUUCAGCUUGCAAUGCUUCCCAGACCUCAGUAAAUGGGAGGAGGAGCUGGAGAAGGAAAUGAAGACAAUUUACACUGCGGUCUUGGAGGCUCACCGCUAGGGGCAGAGUGGGUUGUACUCGCCAGGUUAAAACAACUCCCAGACAACCUAUUCACGUGAGAGCUCAAAGCAGCCAUAAUUUUCUGCACUCAAAAUCUUUCCGGUAAGGUUCUCCGCGUAUUGUCUCCUUGGUAAUUGGAAAACAUGGGACUGGGAGUGCAAUUGCAGGGCAUCUCCAGUCCUCCAGGAUACGAUCUGGCUGCUACAGAAGAGGACCAGGAGGAAGCUCUGCUCAGAAAAAGGAUAGAAAGGCAGCAUGGAAACCCUGCUUCAAGGAAACACGAGAUUCACUAUGCUCUUGGCGAACCUCCCGCGAAAAGAGACUUCUAGGUGAGCCACAGUCGUGAGUUUGGAUAACAUGGGAAUAGCUUCCUGGAAAGUGGCGUUCCACUUGCAGUUACUCCAAGAGUUGCAAAAAUAACAGAGGACCUGAUUUCAGAGGAGGGGAGUCUUGCAGAGUCGCGGUAGCUCUGGUCCUGGAGAUUCAGCCAUGCGCACAUUUGUGCGCACUCAGUGCCUGCUGAUUCUGCUGAGCAGCAAACUGUGCACUGCUCAGGCUUCGGAACUUUUACAAAUAAUUCGUAGCCAAAAGGACGUCUUGUGGAAUUGUUAUCUAUGAAGAGGUUAAGGAAAAAUUCAGCACCGAAACCCUAGUCUUGAUUCUGAACACUCUACUUGCUCUGUUUUCCCUUAGGGAGGAAGGAUCCCCAGAGAGGCUCCCUGACCACUGCAAGCACUUCUCAAAGGGCUUGAAGGAGCUCAACGAAAAAACCCCAUUGCUGCCCAAGACUUCUGAGAGCCAAACUGGUAGAUUUGUGCAACCUGCAGUGAAAUUGUCCACACUAUACGCAAAGAUUAAACUCUGUGUCUUUAUAAGCAGGCAGAAAGGAUUCCAGCUUCCUUAGGUGUUCGCUGAUUGGGAUCCAGAAGCCCGCAACAAAUGGAUUCGCUUCCUCCUUUGUGCUUUCUCCUCCAGGGAGGAAGGAUCCCCAGAGAGGCUCCCUGACCACUGCAAGCACUUCUCAAAGGGCUUGAAGGAGCUCAACGAAAAAACCCCAUUGCUGCCCAAGACUUCUGAGAGCCAAACUGGUAGAUUUGUGCAACCUGCAGUGAAAUUGUCCACACCGAUACGCAAAGGUUAAACUCUGUGCCUUUAUAAGCAAGCAGAAAGGAUUCCAGCUUCCUUAGGUGUUCGCUGAUUGGGAUCCAGAAGACCACAGCAAAUGGAUUCGCUUCCUCCUUUGUGCUUUCUCCUCCAGGGCGGAGGGAGAGAACCUGGAAGAAGCCUAUCUUGGCAUUCUUGAUACUACACUGCCAUCCAGCGGAAUUACUUUGCUGUACUGCCACCACCUCUAUGAAGCUUUUUCUCAGCCUAUCUGAAAGUGAGUUGUGAGUGCCCAGGACUUCUGGUUCAAAUACUGAAUCAGCAAUCAAUGAACAAAUGAAGGUACGUCCAGCCAACUGACCUGUUCUGGGGUUAGACAGGGUUUGUUUUUGGAGUAAUAAAUUCAGCUACUCGGGAAUUUGGCUCCAGCUGCAGAUGUAGCAGAGGAGAUGGCUUUGCUUGGCAUCAAUAGGAGGAGAUGCCCUUGGUCCUAUAAAGGCUAAAUACCCCAGUGUAGGGGAAUACCAGAGAUUUGAGGUGAGAGUGGGUACAUCCUCAUAGAACCAGGUAGAUGAGGGAGGGGAAUGGGAGGGGAGAAUAACAUUUGAAAUGUAAAUACAUAAAAUAUUCAAUUAAAAAAAACCAGUAGGAUUAAUUCAGAAAGACUGGUGGUCAGAAAAACUCAACCACAUUGUAGUCUCCUGGCAAAGAGAAACCCCAGGGUCAAGGUCAAAAUGACUCCUCCACCAUGUGGUGACUGUUUUAAGUAGGAAGCUGACCUGUUCAACCAGAGGAAUCAUGGGUAGAAUAAGUCCCAACUUUGACAGGUGGCAGAAAUGGAGCUAUAUUCUCCUAGACUUCAGAGUAAGCUAGCUGUGUGUUCCUGUGUUUUACACUUGCAUCUCAAGAUGUCCUCUGCAGAGGAAGCAAGGUCAUAGAGUAUCCAGAAUCCAUGGCAAAGUCUCUUGCCUCUAGUAGGUUGGAAGACAUUACUAAACUCAGACACAGGAACAUGGUUAGUCUACAGUGUAAGUCUUUUAGAGACUCAACCUCUGCAUAGAAUAGAUGGGUACACCUGACAGGCAGUGCUCAGAUCACUGAGCAGUGACAUUCUGUUCCGUUGGGAGGUGCAAGUCUUUGUUUUCGAUGCUCUGCCCAAGACCCUUCCCUUGAAAGUGUGUGAAAGGUGCCAGGUCCAGUCUUUAGGUAUGUCUUGCCUUGGGCCAGUGAGAACUUGUAGCAAGACAGUCAGGCACAAGAGCUUCAUCCAUAUCUCCAUAAUGAAAUUUGCUCUACCUCAGAAGCUCCCUCUUGUGUAUCUUAAGGCCUUCUUUCUCAGGGAAAUUACAUGCUUCACAAUAGUCACAAAUAUUAUAAAAUACCCUGGGGUAACUCUAACCAAACGAGUGAAGGUUCUGUAUAUAACAACUUCAAGUCUCUAAAUAAAUAAAUAAAUAAAUAGGAAGAAGAGCUCAGAAAAUGGAGAGAUAUCCCACAAUUAUGAACUAGUAGGCUAAACCUAGUAAAAUGGCCAUCUUAACAAAAUCAGUUUACAGAUUAAAUGCAAUCCCCAUCAAAAUCCCAACACAAUUCAUUAAAAACAUGGAAAAAGCAAUUCUCAAUUUCAUGCUGCACAUGAUUUUUAAAAACCAAGAUCCACAUACAAGUAGUACUAUUUCCCUGUGAGAAAAUGAAAUACGGGCAAAUAUCUUUUCUGGCAGAGGCUGAGUAGGAUAGUGGAAAGUAUUGUUUAUAGACAACGAGAUCAUAAUAUUUUCCAGGAACGGUCAAAGAGAUGGAAUACAGCCAGAACUGAGGAGCUAGUGGGUUGGUAGCAGCUGGGAUAGGCUAACAGUUCUUUGAAAUUUACUAGUUCCCAGUUAGGUUCAAUGGGAGCCUACUGUUUCAUUAGAGUCUGAAAUUGCCUCAACACAAAAUCUCAUGUGAGCAGCCAGUACUGGUGCAUACCUUUAAUCACAGCACAUAGGAGGCAGAGUUAUGCAGAUUUCUUGGAGUUCAAGGUCAGCCUGGUCAACAACACAAGUUUCAGGAGAGCCUGACCUGCUACAGAGAGAAACUCUGUCUCGGAAAACAAAAGGUUGGGGCAAAACAGCUCAUGUGAGCUAUGCAAGAUGGCUGACAGACACAACUGAGUACACAGACAGGGUCCUAGAAUUCUUAGGCUAGGGUCUCAGGGAAAGAAAACCAAAGGGUUCUGAUGACAGUUGUCCUUUCUCCUCUUUCUCCUCUGGUUCUCUUCCAUGGUCUGAGGAACUGGGGCUGUGAAAAUAGAAACAAUCCCUAUGUAUUCUCUACUCUGCACAAGCUGGAGUCUCCUCAUCCUUGGCCAUGUGUGGGAAAUUUCCAAUCUGAGGUCUUUGGAUCCUUAAGCCAAUAGAACAGAAUAGAGAGGAGAGCUGCUAACCAAACACUUCGGUCUUCUUGUCUAAAGAUCUCAACUUAUGGAGUCCAUGACCCUGGAUUUGCAUGGGUGGAUGUUCUGGGCCAUUGCUACAUCAUGGAUGUUUUCCCGGCCUGUGGGUUGUGUGGGGACCUGAUUUGAUGCUGAACCACGGAUUCCAAGUCCAAGACAAAGAGAGCUCUCCCAGCAAAACUCCUGAAGUACAGCAGAAGAAUAAAGGGAAUAAAAAGGAAGCCAAAAGACAGAAAAUACAGAAAGGAAGGGAAGAAAAAAAGCAGAGACAACAGGCUGAGUAUCUAAGAGUGGAAGGAGGGAAGGAAUGAAAAAGAGGGAGUAAUGGAAGUGAGAGUAGGGUAGAGAGUAUGAUGAAUUGAAAGGACUGACAUAUUUUUGACCUCUAGAUGGCAUUUCUCGAGACCCUGAAGCUCAUGAACAAAGUCCAGAAUCUCAUGGGCACUGGCUGAUUCCAAGAAAUGAGAUAUAUAUGCAGAAAGGUAUCUAAAAAACAGGUCAGAGGCAAUUGGGGGAGAUUCCUAACCUUGAUCAGCAAGUUACCCACAUAUCUGUGCCCCAGUUGAUGAAUCCGAAAUAGUGUUCCUCAUCACUGUGCAAACAUGGCCGCCUCGAGAUCACAAAGCCCAUAUUCGCAAGUAGCUGAAUUUAUUACUCAGAGAAGCAAGCUGGCUAACCGCAGAACCUGCCAGUUGGCUCAAGCUACCUUCACUUUAAUAUUUGAACCAGAAGCUGAAGCACUCCUCACCCACUACCAGACUUGCCAAGGAAAAGCUUAUGGAGGUGUUGAUAAGAACAGCAAAGCAAUUCCACUGGAUGGCAGUGUAGUAUCAAGAAUGUGAAGAUACCCUUCUUACAGGUUCUCUCCCUCCGCCCUUCUUGGAGUGAAAAAAAAAAAAAAAACUGAAACAGUUCAACAUAACACUUGACUCUGAUAUAUGUUAGAUAGAAAUUGGUUCCUUAUGUCUACAGUACCUAUUAUCACUGAUCUGACCUGGGUGGUCUCUGUUUCAGUGUAUUAAGAUAUUCUCCCACAAGGACAGGGACCAUCCUCAAGGCAUAAGGGCCAAACAGGAAAACCCAAUGAGGAUCCCUUCCCCUGGAUGCAAGGGUCAGGAGAAGCCAUAGAAACAAACUUCUAGCCAGAGACUUAGUCUGGGGCACAGUACAGCACCAUCAGUUCAGCACUCGAGUUCGCACUAAAUUCGGAACUGCAAAGCUAGAAAGAAGAGUCAGAAGACGCAAUACAUAUAAAUUCUUCAGAAGAAACGGGACCUUGGGCUGAGUACAAGUCCCUCCUGUGCUACCAAGAUAUAUCUAUUCUUCAGUCCUUUGCCCCCAGACAUUUUGAGAGAAAACACACUGAAUUAUUGGUGGGAACAUUAAGAACAGAUCACUUGCUGACAGUAUUGAACCAAGAAGCCAAGGUACCCAUCUUUCAGGUUCUCUCCCUCCACCCUUCUUUGAUAAACAACAACAACAACAACACCACACACACACACACACACACACACACACACACACACACACACACACAUUUUGCCAAUAAAUCCCAAGUUGACUGACCUUAAUCAUGGCCUCCUUUGGCCAGAGAUGGGCUUUGGAGCUUCACUGUAUACAUACUGUCUCGGAGGUCACAGGCCACACAAGUUCCUCAUUCCCAGUCCAACACAAGAACGUGGCAUGCCCUCAGAAACAUACAGGAAAACUAAGAGCAAUGGUCAAAAGAAGGUCUACAAAUACAUUCUUAGGCAGAAACUUGACCUUGGGCAACAUAUGACUCACUCACAUCUUUCCAGAAAUAAUCUGACUGGCCCAUAUGUACAUAACUUAUAACUGGAAUUUUGUCAGUGAGUGCCAAGGUAAACCAUAGAGUGUUCAGUCCUCCCACGGGGAAGAAGAGAUUGUAUAGCCAUUCGACAACCAAGCUUCUAGUUCAAGGCUACCUGAUUCUUCUCCCUACACAUACAUACCAGGCUCCUGACAGGAAAAGUUGGAAGGACAAAUAAGGAAGACAGUUGGAACAAUAGAGACAACCAGCUAUUCAAACAGAGUCAAGGGCCAGUGAUACAUUCAAACCUAGAAGAAGGAGAUGCCAGGUUGUAGUGAAGAAGAAAAAAAAAAAAAAAAACCACACACAAACACACAGAUGCUUUCCUUUUUGAGUGCCCUAGUUCCUUUUUUACAAACCAGAGUCAAAAUAAAAACUACAACUGUCACCCAAACUCUUUGGUCUUCUUGUCCAGAGAACCCAACCUGUGCAUUCCCAGACCUUGUCUGUACUUCCUGUCAGCCAUAUUGUAAAGUUCAUGUGAGUUUUUUGUGUUAAGUCACUUUAUCCUCUAAUGAAACAUUGGGCUUCUAGAAUAUUCACCUGGGAACUAUGUCAAAGAACUGUUAGCCCUACAGAUACUACGUCAGAGUAAAAGGUUGGGAAAAAAGGUCUUCCAAGCAAAUGGUCCCAAGAAACAAGCUGGAGUUGCCAUCCUAAUAUCCAAUAAAAUACACUUUCAACCAAAAGUUAUCAAGCAAGAUCAUCAAGAAUAAAAAUCCACCAUGAGAAAGUCUCAAUUCUGAACAUCUAUACCCCAAAUGCAUGUGCUCCCACAUUCAUAAACUUUACUAAAGCUCAAAACACACAUUGAACCCUACACAAUAAUAGAGACUUAGUCACCCCACUCUCGCAG
rnacentral:lncRNA from 1 species